AUUGAACGCUGGCGGCAUGCCUUACACAUGCAAGUCGAACGGUAACAGGUUAAGCUGACGAGUGGCGAACGGGUGAGUAAUAUAUCGGAACGUGCCCAGUCGUGGGGGAUAACGUAGCGAAAGCUACGCUAAUACCGCAUACGAUCUACGGAUGAAAGCGGGGAUCGCAAGACCUCGCGCGAUGGGAGCGGCCGAUAUCAGAUUAGGUUGUUGGUGAGGUAAAGGCUCACCAAGCCUGCGAUCUGUAGCUGGUCUGAGAGGACGACCAGCCACACUGGAACUGAGACACGGUCCAGACUCCUACGGGAGGCGGCAGUGGGGAAUUUUGGACAAUGGACGCAAGUCUGAUCCAGCAAUGCCGCGUGCAGGACGAAGGCCUUCGGGUUGUAAACUGCUUUUGUACGGAACGAAACGGCGAGCUCUAAUACAGUUUGCUAAUGACGGUACCGUAAGAAUAAGCACCGGCUAACUACGUGCCAGCCGCCGCGGUAA
rnacentral:rRNA from 1 species